GCAGCCGUGACUGGCUGGUUACGGUGUUCGCUUUGUAAGCGAAUGAUCCUGGGUUCGAUUCCCAUCUGCUCCA
rnacentral:tRNA from 2 species